rnacentral:lncRNA from 1 species
GUGCAGCCCACCUAACGUCAUGCCCUUGGAAGAAGCCUGGGAGGGAAAGAUUUCCUGUGGGUUGGCCACAACUUGACUUGAAGCUGCAAGCCUCUGUUACACAGCCAGUCAGGGUCAGAGGCCUCAGCAGCUUGAUCCCACCUCAAGUCAUCCUGCUGGCGGCCAACGUGGUGUGGUUCUCACGGCUUGAGGAAGGACUUCCAUUUUCCUGAGAUAUCUCAUUACUCAGUAACAAGCAAGAAAUAUAAAUAACCAGGACCUGCAGAAAUCUCCCAAGUCUCAAUGCCAUUUACAACUACUCAGGUUUUGGAUUCAGAGGGAUUAAAUGAUAAUGUCUCAUGGAGGUGAGGGGUCUAGACUGAAGAAAUGAUGAUGAGUGUUUCCAGGAGAUCUGCACUUUGGGAACCAAGACGGUUGUUGUAAAUGUGUGCUUAGUAUGAAGGACAGAAGCGCAUGAAAUCCCACUCAGAAGAGCACCUGGCCCAUCAGCCCUUUACCUGUGCCCCUGCCAUGCUGGCUGUGGGAUUGUUCUCGGACCAUAUUCAACAAUGGACCCUUCCUUCCUGGGACAGAAGACCUCCAGAAGCUCCCAUGACACUUGCUUCUUAUGCUACCUCCAUCCCCUCAAAUCCUUACCAAUGA